UAAAUGUUUAUAUUAAAUUUCAGACAUAGUUUUCUCAGAUGAAACUCUGAUCCUGAUUAGAAAAUAGCACCAAAGAAACACCCAAGAAACUGCAUUAAGUUUUCACCUAUCAUUUACACCUUAUAGUUUAUUUGACCGUGUUCACAUCCUUAUAAUUAAGUUAAACUCUUUGCACUUUUAUAGUACUCAACUUUUGGUUCAAUAGUGACCGUUGGGGCAAUGACCGGCUCCAUUGUAAGCGGUAAAAUAGCAGAUUAUGCAGGUCGCCGAGUUGUAAGUUAAAGCCAGGCUACACUUAAUUUUAAUUUCAAUGUUUCUGUUGUUUACCAUUGGUUACUUUGCAUUCUGAUGUGCAGACCAUGGGUUUCUCAGAGGUUUGCCAUUAAUUUCUUCCCAGAUUUCUCUUGCUUGAAUUGCAGGCAUGUCAAGGAAUUAACUAUAUAUGAGGCUUGUUAUCAGACAAAGAAAAAUAUUUUUCUCUUCGGUCUCAAAUAUAAAAAAGAAAAAAAAUAAAAUUCUUGAAAAUUUUUAACUAAUUCUAUCACAUUUAAUGCUAUUAUCUCUAAAAUAUCCUUCAUUUAAUUGAGAUUUUUUUUUUUUUAUCUCUGAUAUGAGGAUCUAAUGAAGGGUAAGUUUGGAAAAUUUUAGUUUUUAAUUGAGAUCAGUACAAUUAAAUGUGGUUAAUUAACUUUUUAGUAACUACAGUAUAGCGUUAAUUUGUUAAUUUUGGGGUUAAUUUCCUUAAAUUCAGUCUUUGAUAUCAAACAUUUCGUGUUUGAAGGAUGCUUGAUGGCUUUACAUUGGAAGACUGUUGAUAGGGUGUGGGAUUGGCCUGAUUUCUUAUGAGAUUCCAGUCUAUAUAGCAGAAAUAAGCACCCAAGAUUUUUCUAGGAGCAUUUACUGAAGUUCAUCAGUUCAUGGGUUGUUGUGGGUUGUCAUUAAGUUACCUUAUUGGAGCAUUUUUGAAUUGGAGGAUUUUGGCUUUGAUUGGUAAUAUUAUUCUUUUUGUCGCUCUUUUCACAAAACAAACUUAAAAAGGGUUCCGUGUAACUCACAUCAUUUUUUGUAUUUAUCUCGGGAACUAUCUCGUGUCUUUUUCAGCUUCUGACUCUCCCCUUUAUCCCUGAUUCUCCCAGGUGGCUGGUGAGUAUGAGAGUUGUUCAUAGCUUCUGGAAUUUUGUUGUUUGGGAACUAUAUGCAUGCUGGACACAGAUCAUACAAGCAACUGAAUUUUUUCCUCACUUUGGUCAAAUGAUUAGAGUCAGCACAUCUCAUUAGAUAAACCUAGCACAAGUGAUAAAUGUAAUCU